GACGAACGCUGGCGGCGUGCUUAACACAUGCAAGUCGAACGGAAAGGCCCUGCUUUUGUGGGGUGCUCGAGUGGCGAACGGGUGAGUAACACGUGAGUAACCUGCCCUUGACUUUGGGAUAACUUCAGGAAACUGGGGCUAAUAUCGGAUAGGAGCUCCUGCUGCAUGGUGGGGGUUGGAAAGUUUCGGCGGUUGGGGAUGGACUCGCGGCUUAUCAGCUUGUUGGUGGGGUGGUGGCUUACCAAGGCUUUGACGGGUAGCCGGCCUGAGAGGGUGACCGGCCACAUUGGGACUGAGAUACGGCCCAGACUCCUACGGGAGGCAGCAGUGGGGAAUAUUGCACAAUGGGCGGAAGCCUGAUGCAGCAACGCCGCGUGCGGGAUGACGGCCUUCGGGUUGUAAACCGCUUUCGCCUGUGACGAAGCGUGAGUGACGGUAAUGGGUAAAGAAGCACCGGCUAACUACGUG
rnacentral:rRNA from 1 species